rnacentral:lncRNA from 1 species
UAAACCCAAUUGACACUUCAUAGGCUUAAUUACUUGUUUAAGGCCUAAUCCCUUUGUUGUGUGAUCUCAUAGGUUCGAUUCUAUCUAGUAGUGAGACAUACAAUGAUCUCUAUCAUCGUAUCAUUGAAAUUAUUUUCAAUGGGUCCGAAUAAUUCUACUCUAACUCAAUAAAGAUUGUCGAUCCAGAACAAUCCUAGUGAGCUCUCACAAUCCACUCAUGACACCUAGCAGUAUGUAGUGGCAAUUCAGUAGAGCUAAAUGAACCUCUAGGUGUAGUUAACGUAUGAUUCAGUCCCUCUAUCGUGAGUUCCGACUAGAUGCAGAUCAUGGAUAAAUCGUCAAACCUUAACAUCGAUUAUAUGAUAGAUUCAAUCAGCUUAAGUCCAUAUGUGAUUCUAUGAAAACUCUUUUCUAUCAAUCACACUGCUAUGGUCAUAGACUUAAGGACUCAGCUUCUUAAAUCCCAUAGGACUACUCCCUUCUGCUAGAGUCGAUAGAUUCUAUCUUGAUGCACACCCCACUCUUACACUGGAUCAACUGUCGCCAACAUUUACUACAAGGACUCCUUGAGAUUCAUGUUUAUGUGUCAGUCAAACUCCAGUAGCCUCAUUGCGAGCAGUAGUGUCAUCUCAGAUCAAAGGAUCAGUCAUACAAUUGCAGCAUCGAGAAAGUCACUAACGAGGGAGCAGACAUUCAUGUGACUUCUCGUCUUGAUCACGCUCAGUGCUAGUUAUUCUCUAACAACCACCUGCACUCUUGCUCUAGUGUCUCUACACUGCAGAUUCGAGAUCCAUCUAUCCGAAGGAAGCGAUCCGUACAUUGGUCUAUUCGGAUCAGUCACCAUCUCCAUGAUGAUCCUAUGAUCAGGAGCAAUUUAGGAAUCAACUAUUAAUGACAUAUGCCUCAAAUUUUCAACUCUUUGAGAAUGUGUCAUCAUCUUGUUAAUCCUUUGGAUGAUUCAUGGACACAGACAUGAAUGGUAAUAUAACUGUCCAAUAAGUACAAAAUCAUGUCCUAGAGAUAUAAAAUGUGUCAGCCAAGAUUAGCUUCUAGAGCAUCCAACAAUCUUCCACUUGCACUAAAGUCAAUUUGCCAUGUACCAAGCUCUAUCUUCACAAGACCGGUCUAAAGCUAACCAAGUGACUUACCAGUGAGUCAUCCACAUCACAUGUGGAGUUUACUCUCUACACCUCUAUAUAUUUCUACUCGAGGUAGUCGCGUGUUCUGCUGUUCUAUAUGCUUGAAUAUCUGGUGAGACCUAGGCUCUUUAGCAAGGGUUAUGAUGCCAUUGUCUUUGCAGUAUAGUAUCACGGUAUCUGAUGGUAUGACAACUAAUUCUGCAACUAACAUUACAAUCAGAAUGCAUCAUACACAUCUACAGCAUACUCUCAGCUUUCAUUGAUCGAUUAUUUGAAAUCCUUCCAAGAUAUCGACAUAGGAACACAUCCAUGAUGUAGACAUUUUACUAUCAACAUCAGACAAAAUUUGAAUUGAUGUAUCCUUCCACUUCUAGCUUUGAUCCUUCUCCGAACAUAUCCUCAGUUCUUCUUAAGAGCUUAAGGAUGUUUUCACAGCAAUCCAGCGCUCACAGUCUGGAUACAACUGAUAUCUAUUUGUGACAAUCACGGUAUAAUCAGUUCAAGUAUUUUAUGGCAUACGACUAUGUCCGAGAGAGUAGCAGACCUCUCUCCGAGAUUUCUAUGCUGAACGCUUUCAGCAUCCGGUCUCUAUACUUUAUCUGUGAAAACACAAGCAUUCAAUUGCAUCUAUCUCUAUAGAUCUUUAGGAUGCUCACUUUAUAUCUUUCAUGGAGAAAUCUAUAUUCAACUAUAUUUUAACCGAUGUCAGUAUUGGACACUCUCACUGAUCCUUUUGAAAUCCAUAAUUCCUCAUAUCUGAUCAAACAAUUUGAUCAUAUCAUUGAAACGAAUGUUCUAGCUCCAAGGAUAUUGUGGUCUUUGUGAUCACCUAUCACAAUAAGUGAAAUCCACAAGCUAUUCCAUAUAGAAAUCUUUAAAAGAUCUCUACUCAGGAAAGUUAUUUCACAUGCUUUUUUGGAGUCGAUAUCUCACAUCGCCUCGUUGUAGGUUCUGGGAUCAUCUCUAUAUUUUCUAUCUCCAUGAGAAACGAUUUUCUCUACAUUCUCUGUUAAGCAUACUCAAGUACCUUUUGAGAGGAUUGGAGAUCCUACUAUGUGUACGAGGUGGAGGAGGAAUAUACGUCUACUGGCUCAUGAUUAAUAUAUUCUUAAGGUCUCAAGGCUCCUUGCUCUUCAGAGACACUCUCUUAGAGCUUAACUUUCCUUUCACUGCUUCAUCUUGGUUAAACAGUUUUUUAAGAAGAUAGCAUUGAAUCACAAUCACAUUGUAAUCCCAUCGGAAAGUAAUAUCCCAAACUCUUUUAGGAAGAGCUUUAUAGACUUAUCUUCUAAUAUAUCCACCUGCUGUCCUAAAUACAGGCUAGACAUCCUUGAAUCUCAAAAUAAUCAAGAUUCAGUUCUCACCAUGUCAUAUCUUAUAUGGUGUGAUAGGAACAUGUUUAGUGAGAAUCCAAUUUUAUAGAAAUAGAGCAUGUCCCUAAAGAAAUAUAAAUAAAUAAGUAAAUUUCAUUAUAGAUCAAAUCAUAUCUCAUAUAAUCCUAUGACUCUUCUUAUCUCAUUGAGUUGAGAUUUAUUAAGAGGGGUCCAAUAUGAAACAAUGCCAUUAUGAGAUAAUCGAAAAUUUUUUUUCAAUGGUAUUGCAUCCUCGAUUCGAUCGAAGUAUCUUCAGAAAUUUUUUGAUUUAUUUCUCCAUUUACAUGUGAAUUCUUUGAACCUUUCAAAAAUUUUAGAUUUAUAUCUCAUAUACAAGGUAAAGACAACUCCUUGGUUAGCACAUCACAUGGGCUACACACAUCAAAUAUGUACAAGGAUAAGUAUCUCAGUGGUCCUUUUCCUCUUGUCCCACAAGAGUAGCUUGGUUAUAUUUUCUCAAAGAGAUGAUGCACAAACUAGAUUUGACUCAACAGUCAAUGAGCCUAAAUCCAUAUUUUUUCAGUUUGUUAAUCAUUUCUUCUCCAAUAUGACUUAGCUAUAGAUUCCACAUAUACUUUAAAUUUUAUCUCAAUUUUGGAUCUCUCAGAUCCAAUGGCAUUCACUAAUUGCUCAAUUAAAUUCACAUAUGCAUCAACAUGCAAAUGAUAGACUGUCUCUAAAAACUAAAUCCAAACGAUGAUCGCAAAGGACAGAUAUCCAUGACCACAGCAGCAACUAUUGCCCUAUAGUCAAUUCAAGGGUUACUUCCUCAGCUCUCUACCUUUCCAUCGACUCUACACUAGAGCCUGUAGCUCAAGUAGGAGAAGAGAAAAUCGUAAGGACAGUGUUGAGCAAUUUCGACAUACCUACUCUAGGUGUGUCUUUAUUUCUUUAGACUCUCCAGGUAUUUACCUCUGAACUCUUUCAAGGUUCUUUUGUUAUCAACACUUUGACCAAUUCAGAUAAAGUGCCAUGAUGGUCUUUCAUAUGGUAGUUUAUCAUAAACUAUCUAUAUAAACUAAUCAAAGAUCGUAGGAUCAAAUCCAUAAGCAAUUCCUUAUGCAUGGUCAUGUCGAGCUUUUUAAGCUUUUCAAUGUCCUCGAUCAUUAUCAAAUAACGAUCAUAGACUGACUAUCCAUCAUGCAUCACAUGCGCUAUGCGACUCUUAUCACCUCACAACACUUAUGGAUGAAUCAACAUAUCGUUGGCAGUG